rnacentral:rRNA from 1 species
AGUGAACGCUGGCGGUAGGCCUAACACAUGCAAGUCGAACGGCAGCACAGGAGAGCUUGCUCUCUGGGUGGCGAGUGGCGGACGGGUGAGGAAUACAUCGGAAUCUACUCUGUCGUGGGGGAUAACGUAGGGAAACUUACGCUAAUACCGCAUACGACCUACGGGUGAAAGCAGGGGACCUUCGGGCCUUGCGCGAUUGAAUGAGCCGAUGUCGGAUUAGCUAGUUGGCGGGGUAAAGGCCCACCAAGGCGACGAUCCGUAGCUGGUCUGAGGGAAUGAUCAGCCACACUGGAACUGAGACACGGUCCAGACUCCUACGGGAGGCAGCAGUGGGGAAUAUUGGACAAUGGGCGCAGGCCUGAUCCAGCCAUACCGCGUGGGUGAAGAAGGCCUUCGGGUUGUAAAGCCCUUUUGUUGGGAAAGAAAUCCAGCUGGCUAAUACCCGGUUGGGAUGACGGUACCCAAAGAAUAAGCACCGGCUAACUUCGUGCCAGCCGCCGCGGUAA